ACGGGUGAGUAACGCGUAAGUAAUCUACCCCUGUAUUCGGAAUAACCCACCGAAAGGUGAGCUAAUACCGGAUACGUUUAUCUUGAUGCGAAUGAUGAUAAAGAAAGGUGGCCUCUUCUUGAAAGCUACUGUACAGGGAUGAGCUUGCGUACCAUUAGCUAGUUGGUAGGGUAAUGGCCUACCAAGGCGACGAUGGUUAGCGGGUCUGAGAGGAUGAUCCGCCACACUGGAACUGAAACACGGACCAGACUCCUACGGGAGGCAGCAGUGAGGAAUAUUGCGCAAUGGGGGCAACCCUGACGCAGCGACGCCGCGUGGAUGAUGAAGGCCUUUGGGUCGUAAAAUCCUGUCAGAUGGAAAGAAACGUAUAUGUGCUAAUAUCGCAUAUAUUUGACGGUACCAUCAAAGGAAGCACCGGCUAACUCCGUGCCAGCAGCCGCGGUAAUACGGAGGGUGCAAGCGUUGUUCGGAAUUACUGGGCGUAAAGCGCGCGUAGGCGGUUUUAUAAGUCAGAUGUGAAAGCCCUCGGCUUAACCGUGGACGUGCAUUUGAAACUGUGAGACUUGAGUACUGGAGGGGGUGGUGGA
rnacentral:rRNA from 1 species